rnacentral:tRNA from 1 species
GGGGGAGUAGUUCAGUGGUAGAGCUCUCGCUUCGUGUACCGGAAGACCUGGGUUCGAUUCCCGGCUGCCUAA